CAAUAGCGUAUAUUAAAGUUGUUGCAGUUAAAAAGCUCGUAGUUGGAUUUCUGGUGGGAGCGAUCGGUCUGGCGCUUAGCGCGAGUACUUGCAUCGUCUCCGGCCAUCCUUGGGGAGAGUCUGUCUGGCAUUAAGUUGUCGGGCAGAGGAUCCUCAUCGUUUACUGUAAAAAAUUAGAGUGUUCAAAGCAGGCUUAUGCCGUUGAAUAUAUUAGCAUGGAAUAAUAAGAUAGGACUUUGGUACUAUUUUGUUGGUUUGCGCACCAAAGUAAUGAUUAAUAGGGACAGUUGGGGGUAUUCGUAUUCCGUUGUCAGAGGUGAAAUUCUUGGAUUUACGGAAGACGAACUACUGCGAAAGCAUUUACCAAGGAUGUUUUCAUUA
rnacentral:rRNA from 1 species